AAGACGAGAAGACCCUGUGGAACUUUAAAAUCACGACCACCUUACAACCUUACACAGCCCCACUGGGUCCACCCACACAUAAACCCCUGGUCGACAUUUUUCGGUUGGGGCGACCUUGGAGAAAAAAAAAUCCUCCAAACCCACAGACCACAACUCUUCACUAAGACCAACUCCUCAAAGUACCAACAGUAACCAGACCCAAUAUAAUUGAGCAAUGGACCAAGCUACCCUAGGGAUAACAGCGCAAUC
rnacentral:rRNA from 1 species